GAAAGGGUUGCAAUAAACUGGUGGCUGCGACUGUUUAAUAAAAACACAGCACUCUGCAAACACGAAAGUGGACGUAUAGGGUGUGACGCCUGCCCGGUGCUGGAAGAUUAAAUGAUGGGGUGCAAGCUCUUGAUUGAAGUCCCAGUAAACGGCGGCCGUAACUAUAACGGUCCUAAGGUAGCGAAAUUCCUUGUCGGGUAAGUUCCGACCUGCACGAAUGGCGUAACGAUGGCCACACUGUCUCCUCCCGAGACUCAGCGAAGUUGAAAUGUUUGUGAUGAUGCAAUCUACCCGCGGCUAGACGGAAAGACCCCAUGAACCUUUACUGUAGCUUUGCAUUGGACUUUGAAUCAAUCUGUGUAGGAUAGGUGGGAGGCUUUGAAGCGGGGACGCCAGUUCUCGUGGAGCCAUCCUUGAAAUACCACCCUGGUUCAUUUGAGGUUCUAACCUUGGUCCGUGAUCCGGAUCGGGGACAGUGCAUGGUAGGCAGUUUGACUGGGGCGGUCUCCUCCUAAAGUGUAACGGAGGAGUUCGAAGGUACGCUAGGUACGGUCGGACAUCGUGCUAAUAGUGCAAUGGCAUAAGCGUGCUUAACUGCGAGACCGACAAGUCGAGCAGGUACGAAAGUAGGACAUAGUGAUCCGGUGGUUCUGUAUGGAAGGGCCAUCGCUCAACGGAUAAAAGGUACUCUGGGGAUAACAGGCUGAUUCCUCCCAAGAGUUCAUAUCGACGGGGGAGUUUGGCACCUCGAUGUCGGCUCAUCACAUCCUGGGGCUGUAGCCGGUCCCAAGGGUAUGGCUGUUCGCCAUUUAAAGUGGUACGUGAGCUGGGUUUAAAACGUCGUGAGACAGUUUGGUCCCUAUCUGCCGUGGGCGUUGGAAAUUUGAAGGGGGCUGCUCCUAGUACGAGAGGACCGGAGUGGACGAACCUCUGGUGUACCGGUUGUCACGCCAGUGGCAUUGCCGGGUAGCUAAGUUCGGAAGAGAUAACCGCUGAAAGCAUCUAAGCGGGAAACUUGCCUUGAGAUGAGAUUUCCCGGAGCCUUGAGCUCCUUGAAGGGUCGUUCGAGACCAGGACGUUGAUAGGCUGGGUGUGGAAGUGCAGUAAUGCAUUAAGCUAACCAGUACUAAUUGCCCGUACGGCUUGUCCCU
rnacentral:rRNA from 1 species